rfam:Camelus ferus unplaced genomic scaffold scaffold550, whole genome shotgun sequence.
GGGUAUAUAGCUCAGUGGUAGAGUGCGUGCUUGGUACGCAUGAGUUCCUGGGUUCAAUCCCCAGUGCCUCCA